rnacentral:misc_RNA from 1 species
UCUCCGUAGGUGAACCUGCGGAGGGAUCAUUACAGAGUUCUCGCCUCGCGGGUAGAUCUCCCACCCACUGUUAUCUUUACUGUCGUUUCUUUGGCGGGCCGCCGGGUCCCCUGCCGCCGUCGUCUAAUAGGCGGCGCGCGCCCGUCAGAGGCCUUCGACCCCUGAAUGUUAGUGUCGUCUGAGUACUAUAUAAUAGUUAAAACUUUCAACAACGGAUCUCUUGGUUCUG